rnacentral:rRNA from 1 species
GAUGAACGCUAGCGGCAGGCCUAAUACAUGCAAGUCGAACGGUGUCUUCGGACAUAGUGGCGCACGGGUGCGUAACACGUAUGCAACCUACCUUACAUUGGGGGAUAGCCUUUCGAAAGGGAGAUUAAUACCGCAUAAGACAGUAGCUGGGCAUCCAGCAGCUGUUAAAGAUUUAUCGAUGUAAGCUGGGCAUGCGUCCAAUUAGCUAGUUGGUGAGGUAACGGCUCACCAAGGCAAUGAUUGGUAGGGGAACUGAGAGGUCAAUCCCCCACACUGGCACUGAGAUACGGGCCAGACUCCUACGGGAGGCAGCAGUAGGGAAUAUUGGGCAAUGGACGCAAGUCUGACCCAGCCAUGCCGCGUGCAGGAUGAAGGCGUUAUGCGUUAUAAACUGCUUUUAUACAGGAAGAAACGACUCUUGCGAGAGGCAUUGACGGUACUGUAAGAAUAAGGAUCGGCUAACUCCGUGCCAGCCGCCGCCGUAAGAC